rnacentral:rRNA from 1 species
UGGGGAAUAUUGCACAAUGGGCGAAAGCCUGAUGCAGCAACGCCGCGUGAGCGAUGAAGGCCUUCGGGUCGUAAAGCUCUGUCCUCAAGGAAGAUAAUGACGGUACUUGAGGAGGAAGCCCCGGCUAACUACGUGCCAGCAGCCGCGGUAAUACGAAGGGUGCAAGCGUUACUCGGAAUUACUGGGGCGUAAAGCGUGCGUAGGUGGUGGUUUAAAGUCUGUUGUGAAAGCCCUGGGCUCAACCUGGGAAUUGCAGUGGAUACUGGAUCACUAGAGUGUGGUAGAGGGUGGCGGAAUUCCCGGUGUAGCAGUGAAAUGCGUAGAGAUCGGGAGGAACACCCGUGGCGAAGGCGGCCACCUGGGCCAACACUGACACUGAGGCACGAAAGCGUGGGGAGCAAACAGGAUUAGAUACCC